rnacentral:lncRNA from 1 species
UUCUAAGUACUUGAACCCCAAGACUCAUGCUGAACAAGUUUUUUAAUCCUUGAUAUUAUGAUAUGUUUUCUCUAGGAUCUGGUUUGAUUUCGUUUCUUUUCAUUUUGAUGAACUUGUUGAGUCAAGUCCUAGUAUCUCUAAGUUGACACAAGUGUCACAAAAUGUCUAGAAUUAACUUAAAUGUGUAGAACAAACUUGCCUUUUCCAUCACAAUUUUCUACGUCAAAUAUGCAUGAGUUGAUUCCAUUCUAGACUGACGAUAACGUAGUGUUUCCUUUAAGACAAACUCCAGCUGGUUCAAUCCCUUUCAGAACACGAAGCAAUAAGAAGGAACAUCAUAAGAUCUCCUCUCAACAGAAACAGUUGCAAAGCCACAAAACAAAAGAUCCAUUCUUCAGUUUUAGGCCUGCUUGAGUUGGUUCUGUGAGCUCCCCACAAAAACUCACGUACUCUAGUUGACGGUCACUUGGGCUGCCACAACUGACUUGGGUCAUCUUUAACAAUUUCUG